rnacentral:rRNA from 1 species
GAUGAACGCUGGCGGCGUGCCUAAUACAUGCAAGUCGAACGAAACUUCUUUAUCACCGAGUGCUUGCACUCACCGAUAAAGAGUUGAGUGGCGAACGGGUGAGUAACACGUGGGCAACCUGCCCAAAAGAGGAGGAUAACACUUGGAAACAGGUGCUAAUACCGCAUAACCAUAGUUACCGCAUGGUAACUAUGUAAAAGGUGGCUAUACUACCGCUUUUGGAUGGGCCCGCGGCGCAUUAGCUAGUUGGUAGGGUAAAGGCUUACCAAGGCAAUGAUGCGUAGCCGAAUUGAGAGGUUGAUCGGCCACAUUGGGACUGAGACACGGCCCAAACUCCUACGGGAGGCAGCAGUAGGGAAUCUUCCACAAUGGGCGAAAGCCUGAUGGAGCAACGCCGCGUGGGUGAAGAAGGUCUUCGGAUCGUAAAACCCUGUUGUUAGAGAAGAAAGUGCGUGAGAGUAACUGUUCACGUUUCGACGGUAUCUAACCAGAAAGCCACGGCUAACUACGUG